CGCUUUCCUUUUUCUCUCUUCUUUCUUCUCGAUCUAUUCUUUCUCUUUCUCUCCUUCGAAGAAAAAUGGUGUUUCCUUCCUUCUUCUUCUCUCUCAUUCUAGGUUAACCACGUUUUCUUUCUUUCCCCCAUCCUUUUUCUCCCACUCUUCUCUUCUCUCUUGCUAAAUUGGUUCAGGGGUGAUUACAGAUUUCUAGAUCUGGAACACUCUUUUCUUCCUUCAAUCAACAAGGUAAGUUGACAUUAAAGCUUUCUCUAUUAAACUAGAUUUAUUGUUCUUUAGAUUUAGAUUGAGAAUUCAAAAUUGGUUCUUCAACAAAUAGAUGGGUUUUUUAUUUCUGGGAUUUUGUGAGCAAGAAAACUUGCUACUAUUGAAUUUCAAUAAAAAUGCGAUUUUGAUAUUUUUUUCAUUGAUGUUGAAAGCUAAUUAAAAUAAAGCUUGGUAAGACUCUUUAAUGUUUAUGCAUUGGGUUGUCGUAAUUUUGCGCAAACUGUUCGAUAUAUUCGUCAUGCUUAUGUCCAGUUGUUGUAGUUACUUAUUUGUUUACAAGUAUUGUAGGAACAAGUUGUGAAGGUUUUGCAGUAUUUUCUCGGAAACUGAAUCUGCAACUAUCAAACUCUAUUCGUCAUAGUUUGCAGGCAACAAUGUU
rnacentral:lncRNA from 1 species